rnacentral:lncRNA from 1 species
AAGUGGUUUAGGUUAUAUAGUGGGAUCAAAGUUUUCACAACUCAUGAAACAAUGGCAAUGGGCACUCAGGGUUACUCCAGUACUUGGUAUAAUAGCUGUUCUUUUUACUGUAUUUGCGAUGCAUGAACCAAAACGUGGAGCUGCAGAAUGUUUUGAUGAUCCAAAAAAAA